rnacentral:lncRNA from 1 species
AGCCUGUUGACGGUUGUGCUUUUGUAUGCAAAUUGUAUAUGAAUUGUAAUUAAUAAAUAUUAUUUGGCUUUUUCAUUACUUUAUAUACAUCUUGUCAAACUUUUGUAUUAUGAUAAAGUUCUUAGGACUAUUUUAAUCGAUAUAGAAGGAUAUAUCAUUUAGUUCUUAAAUCUAUUUGUGACCAAAUGAUAUGCUAUUAUUAAGAUGAUAGCGAUUAUCAAGUGUAGGUUGUUGUAUACCAUAUAGGUUGGUUGUCCUCUUA